GGGGAUGUGGCUCCGUGGUAUAGUGUCUGCCUGGAAUGCAAGAGGCCCUGAGUUCAAUUCCCAGCAUCACGC
rnacentral:tRNA from 1 species